CUUUAUUCCUGGGACUUAAAAGCUUGACUAUCCACGGUAAGUCGAUGACCAGUGCCCAUGGCGUGAACAGCUCUGACACCAGAGUUGACAACAAAAACAGGAGUGUUUGCAUUUCUGGGGCCUCAAGAAAUGGGGAGGUUCUCCCAAGUACACUGACAGGGGUAUUGUUCCCCUAUUUUAGAAUUAUUACCCCAAGAUCAGCAAAUUGAAGUAAGUUGGUUGAUCUCACGCCACAGCACCUGUGCUUUUCCAGCAAGGGAGGGAUGGAGUCCAAUGCAGGAGUCCCCGUCACAGAGAAAACCACUGUGAUGGGAUGUCUAUUUGGGAAUUAGGACACAAAGGCAGAUGGGAUAGGGUGGGGAGUCUACAUAUUUUUUAUUUGGAUGCUUUGAUGGAUUAAAGUUCCAAAACAAGUGUGUAUUGGGCAGAGGGCAGUCUGGGCUGUGGUUCUGCUCUGUGAGGCUGGGAGUCCAGGCAGGUCCUGUGUCCACUGGUUCACUUUUACAGCCUGAAGCCCCUCGGCAGGACAUCUGCACAGAGGCCUGCAAGUGACUCCAGGGUGCUAAUGAUGCCCACAAGGCGAAAGCCAGAGAAAAUCCCAUCGACUCUGCUAACCAGGGCACCCGUGGCCACCAGUGCGGUUUUAUCCUGCAAAGAACAAACCAGUUUGCAAACCACGCUUUGAGGCCAGAGGCAUGGCGGUACUCACCAGUGUCUCCUGAAGGCUGGAGCCUCCGAGGGUUGAUUCAAAAACUGUAUUUUCUUAUAAAAUGUAGUAACAUUUGAACCUUAAAAAAGGGCUAGGGAAUAAGCUUAUCUAGCCUCUCAUGUAAUUUUGUAACUGAGUGGGAUGAAGGCUGAGGAACAAAGGCAUCUGGCGCCAGCACCCCUGCUGAUCUCUGUCCUCCCGGGGCUUGCCUGUGUUGGGAGUCUCUCCAGCAAAAUCAGGCUGCAGAAAUGAGAUUCUAGUUAAACAAGGCCCACUGUUGCUUUAAGAUGAAAUGUCAAAGUUUUAAAAAAUGUAUUAACUUGCUCUUUUGGCCAAGAGAUAAACAGAUGUACUUCCUUCUACUCCACAGGCAUUGAGUUGACAGAGAAGAGCUUGAAUCAUCAACAUGGCGUGAGUGACCACAUCCCUCACUCUGAGCCCCACUCCACAGCAGAUGACUCUGAAUCGCCCCGGCUAACGGCGUGCCCAGCAUCCUGAUGCUCUGAUUAGUCCUGAAUCACCCGAGGGCGGGCGGUGCGGUGGCUGGGCUGUCUCAGAGGGCAUCGCGGGCUGGGUGGACGAGGCUGGCCCAGAAGAGGGCAACAAGCAUUUGACAGGGAGUGGCAGGCUACCAUCUUGCCUCUUCUGCAGUUUGCGACACUUAGGGUCAUGAGUGUUUUUCCUCACACUAAGGAAGGAGACCACUACUCCUCCUGAUGCCCUCCUUCCCCCCACCUUGCCUAGUUCACAAAACAGGAAGAGAGAAAAAGCAAAAAGUUGGAAAAAAACAAAAGUAAGAUAAAUAGCCAGAUAACCUUGGCACCACCACCCGGCCCUAGGAGUUAAAAAAAGUGAUAAUAAUAACAUCAACCCCUGACCUAAACUACUUGUGUAAAUUCCAGACACUGUAUGAAAAAAGCAUUGUAAAACUUUCUGUUCUGUUAGCUGAUGCCUGUAGCCCCCAGUCACGUUUCCCACGCUUGCUUGAUGUACUACGACCCUUUCACGUGGACCCCUUAAAGUUGUAUGCCUUUAAAAAGGCCAAGAAUUUCUUUUUCAGGGAGCUCAGCUCUUAAGACUCAAGUCUGCCAAUGCUCCUGGCUGAAUAAAAACCUCUUCCUUCUUUAAUCCGGUGUUUGAGGAGUUUUGUCUGCGGCUUGUCCUGCUACAAUACAGUGGCCCGAAAGGCAAGGAAACUCCCGCAAGCGUUCAGAAAGGCUGCGGGUUUUUCAGGUAACAUUUCUGCAGCCACUGAUGUCUGACCCAAAGAGCUCUGAAUGCUUGCCAGAGAGAUGUGUAGUUCUAAUCCCAAAGCCCUGAAUGUUCUGAUUUCCUCAUUAAGACUGACUUAACAUGAGCUAUUUAGUCAGCUGAGUUAUCAACUGAAGAAAGUAACCGGUGUUUCCCACUUAUUUUCUUCUGUGGUUGUUUGAAAACAGCCGUGGUGUGGACAGAGUUCAUGCAGCCUUGAUGGUGGUGUGUCCCCAGCUCCACGCACGCACUAAACCUUUAAUUCAUUUCAGCAUAAAUAAGUUAAUGAAUAUGCAUACAUGAAUAAAUUAACUGGCAUAGUUUUAGUCCUAUUGAAGUUUUAAACUCACCAAUUUAUCCAACUUCUCUGCACUGAGUUUUUAUUCAAGUGAACUAUUCCAGUCUUGUGACUUCUGAUAUAAUAAUAGUAACGACUAAUAUUUAUUAGAACUUUAGUUUACCAAGCACUCCACAUUUUAUUUUUACAUUUUGUCUUCACAAACCCCCAUGAGACAGGCAUUCUCACCACUCGCAGUGUUGAUUGGCAUGCAGAGGCUCAGGGGUUUAAAUGGUUUCACUGAAGCAAUGUGAUCCGGUAGGAUGUUGCUUUCCUAUUCCUCCUAAUACCACCGUGUUCAGACAUGGGCAGCCGAGUGAGAAUAGAUCAUUUCAUGUGUGUGUAUAGACGUAACCUACACUCACAGGCGGAAAGCUGUGCAGGCUGAGAAGUGAAGCCCUCGGCUGAAUGACCAACAACAGCGUUCUAGGACCCCUUGUCCUUGCUCCGCAGGCUACACCCCUCACAUCUCCUCUGAACCAGAAAGAAAACUCUGCGGUUGCUUCUCCCUUUGACAGUCAGCCACAGUUCUCUUCAAUGUUCUCCUGGGGACUUGGGUCAAUGUUCUCCCGUCAAAUCUUAGCCAGGCCCAAGAUUACUGUGCCCCCCACCCCCCGCAGAUCUGUCAGGACACACUACUGCCCCAGAUGUAUUUGGUCGCCCCAUCUGUGUCCUAUCUGCCGUCCGUGCCUCUGGCCAGGCUUCUUGUGAGGUCCUGACUCACGCUGUCACUCUCAGGUUGUUUGCCUGUGGCUGGACACAUUGUUCAUAGGAGCCCAGCUGGCAAAGCAAAAAUACCUGAGACUGUGAUGGCAAGCUGCUUGUUCCCUGCAUCCUUGGCUGGCGAGAAGCUGAAGAGAAGUGAAAGCUCUACCUGUGAAGAGGCAGCAUUGCAGAAGGGAGGAGGUGGAGAUUCUGUCCUCAGUGCCUAGGGCCCUGCCUGGAUCUGGUUUUGCAGAGGGGAGGACGUAGAGAUUCUGUCCUCAGUGCCCAGGGCCCUGCCUGGAUCUGGUUUUGCAGAGGGGAGGACGUAGAGAUUCUGUCCUCAGCGCCCAGGGCCCUGCCUGGAUCUGGUUUUGCAGCUCCAGGGGAAACGUUUUGCACAAAUUCUCACUGGGAGCAUUAUCAGGGCUGCAGCACUUCAGUCUCUCCUGAUCUGAAUCCUUUUAACAUUAGCUGUGAUGCUGAGAAGGAUGAAAUUGAUGACACCAACAUCUGGUGGAAGACAAAAACCAGAGGGAUUUCCACCCAGGCAGAGCCCCUCCGCAGGCCUCCCCUCUUUGUGGCCUGAGGUCGGAGAGGCCUCUGGAGCAAGCCAGCGGAUGGAAUUCUCAGUUUUCUUCCAUUUGAUUAUUUUCCUAUUUUGACGUCUUUGAAAAAUGGCUCAGCCUUAUGGUGCAUGCGUUUUCUGAUUGCUUUUGUCUUUGUUUUAUUCUGAAUCAAGGACCGUGGCCACUGUGGGCUCCUCAUCCAGGACGUGGGGGCCCUCCGGGGCCUCAGUCCAUCCAUGCUGCAGUACAUGGUGAUUCUCAUGCAGAGGAUGAUCUCAGGGAUCAGCUUGAGCUGGCAGAGAAUUAAAUUAUAUGGUUUAUAAGAGUCCUGCCUCAGGGUCAGUGACACCAGGCCUGUCUCUGCUGCUAGCAAGGCCGACUUUCUUAUGUGCUGUCAUCGUGGUAAAAGCCUUGCCCACGUGAUGAAGACCCUGGACGGCUCUACUUGAGACAGAUUUCAGCUACGUUGCCUGGGAGUCUCUGGUACUUCUUCAAGGUUCUACUGAAGACAAUGACGUCAUCCAAGUACCUUGCAGUGCCUAAGUAGCUCUUGCCGCGGGAGCUCUGAGACCCCCUGUUAUCUAUUUUCGAAUUGGCCAAGGACCCCCGGCCAGGCAGGGGAUGCUCUGCCCAUCCUCGUCAGCCCUCGUGUCUUGUGAUCCUCCCCCAGCCUCCUGGCAAGCAUCCCUGUGCUUUCCGCGGGUGAGCGUGGCUGAGCUCAGUCUCGCUUACUACAACGGCAGGCACGAGGUCUGCGGAACUAAGAAGGCUCCUCUUUGCUCACUGGCCUUUCCUUUAAGUCCCUGGUCACUAACCUCUGGCAAGACAAUCCUUCUUGUGUUUUCUGGCGAUGGACUUGAGUGAUUACAAUGUAAGCGGUGGCUCCUCCUGGGGGCACGUCCAUUUUCUACCAUGAGGAGGGCGUUGCCCCUGCCAGGCUGCUGCUGUCCUCUCGUAUGCCCACCGGGCCGUCCCCCAAGAUGGCUUGGUACCCACACUGCCUGGGAAUUGCCACUCCUGCUUGUCCCGGACCCACCUCCCCUGCAGCCAUCCCGCACUCUUGAGGGGCCGGGCCCUGGCUGAGCGCUGUUCCUAGGCCCUGGAUGGCGGUGUGGAUCUCCGUCCUUGUCAGGGUAAUUUCCUCUUCUGUUUCCAGCAUUUCGAGUAAAUUCCUUUCUAAUCAUUAGGUGCCCUAGAGAGGACAGAUGCAUGGCUGUGGAGUCUUGUUCUGUGAUAUGUCAGGUAUGUGCUUGGGCGCGCGGAGGCUGCAGGAGGUGGACAGGAAUGGUCUUUCUCUUGCUCUGAGUCGCAUGUGUGGGCCAGCCCACGGGUUCUGUGGAGGAGAAUCCAGCUGCCCACCUGGCUGAGUCUAGCCCUGGGCUGGCGAUGGCCGAACCCCAGUUCCAUUCCCGGACCUUCCCUAGGCUGCUGGGUGGGUUCCCUGGCCACUGUCGCUGGGCUAAUCCAUUCUAUCUUCUCCUGGGGCGAGGCCAUUGCCGUGCUGUGCUGGUGCUGGCUCUUCAGGCAGCUCUUCAGCUCCGUGGCUCCCGGCCCAGCCCAGGCCUAACACAGGCCUGUCCCUAGUGUUCGUGCACUGAGCUUUGUGUCUAUUGCUGGUUUUUCUUUUCUUUUAAAACUUACUUCGCAGAAGGAAUUCGGCCUGAGCAGCUGAGCUUCCGUGGUAGCCUCUCCUGCUCAAAGCCGUCGUUUGCUCCCAUAUACCUGGCCUGCCAGUUUCCAUUCUCUCUUUCCCUUGUUUCAUCUUUUCUGCAGUAGGUCCUCUAGUUUCAACCACAGGUGUUUACAGUGUUGCAGUUUUAAUUUGUCGUUGUUGCAUUUAGUUUACUUGACGCACGUUCAAAACUGCAAAAUGCUGGUUCCUACCCGUCUCUGAUGUCACCAAAGGCUGCCCAGAGGCCUGCAGCACAUUGACGAUGGUCUUAGUAUUACACAGCUGUCUGACCAGUACCACAAAUCCAGAGUCCAAGCAGCUCAGGUUUGCCUUCUCCCUGUCUGUGUGGGUCCAGCGCCCUGGGCUCAGCAGGGCCUCCUGCUCCUGCUCCUGUAGGGUGGGCUGGGCCUUCCCACACGGGCCUGGGGAGGAGCCUCUCCUAGGUGCUGGCAGGGCCCUGGCCUUUACUUAUUCCCUCUGAUGCCAGCCAGCUACUGCAGCCCUGGUGGCGUCUCCCUGGGGGUGCCCGGGUGCAGGUGUCCGCUGCCGGGCCGUGGGUGUCUCAUUCUGUGUCCGGACCUCUCUGUGAUGUGAACCUUGGGCUUUUUUUUUUUUUUUUUUUUUUUUUCAGAUGUUAAGGGAGUCCACCACAUGUUUCCAUGGUAACGGCUCCUUUUCCUGGUUUACUGGAGGGUUCUGACGGUCAAGGCCUCCUGUGUAUUGACUGGGUUAUCGCCUGGGGGUUUUAUUGCUUUGUCUUUUACAUUUAGUUUUACUGUUCCUGGAACUGAAUUUGUUUGUGAUGUGAGUCAGAAAUCCUGUCACAUUUUUCCACGUGGAUAUCCAGGGCCCCCGCCGUUUGUGGGAAGGCCGCACCUUCUGCCCGCUCUGCUGUCCAUCCGCGUGCCCAUCUCCAUGGGUUUCUCUCUGCACGGCUUGUUCUGUCCUGCAUGUCCAUCCUUGAGAUCGUUUUUCUCUGGCUUAAUGAUUACAGCUGUACGUUUCAUUUUCAUGGCUGGGAUCUGCAGGACGAGCUUACAUAUAGCAUAAAAUUGGAUGUUCCUUUGAAACAACAGCAGUCAGAAGUCCAUGAGGAGGUGUCUUCUGACUGCGAGGAUAAGGGUGGAUCACCUUAAUGCAAUCAGGGAAUGAUGUGUUAGAAGCAUCUAUAGUUCCUGCUUCCCCUAAUUUCUAGCUGUAGCCAUUUGAAGAUUCUAAGCAAGUCCUCAACUGUUCAGCAGAGCCUCUGGUCCAGCAUGAGACCAAAACCCAGGUAUUGUUUCUCUGCUCCUUUGAGACUUCAGAAACCUCUGCUGUGGUUUUCAGUGUCUCAGAAUUGGCCAUCAUCUCUAUCAAAACAGCCUCAGCGGCUGAGCUCCUCGCCCCGUCUCCUUCCCCACAUAGGAGCUGGUCUCGCCCUUGGCCCUCCUAACUCUCCAGCGUGUCCAGCCUGACUGGGAGAAACGUCCUGUUCAGGUGUUUGGUUGUCUAAGUGCUUCCCGCGGGGACGCCGGGCCUGAGCCUCUGUGAGAAGGGGAGAUCCCUGUGCAGUGUGGACCAACUUCUUUCCCUUUUCCAGGCUCCCAGUUUCUCCGCCUGUGCUGAGACCUUGUUUCCCAGGACCUCGGUGGACUUGGCUUUCAUGACUGGUGCCUCACCCCAGCACAUGUGCCUAAAAUAACAGAAAAAUACAGUGCCUGCAUGUUGGGAGCAAGCCCCCCAAAGUCUGGCCCCAAAACUGGCCAUAAAUAAAAUCUCUGCAGCAAUGUAACAUGUCCAUAAUGGCCAUAAAGCCCAAGCUGGAAGGUUGUGGGUUUACAGGAAUGACGGUAAGGAACACCUGGCCCGCUCAGGGCGGAAAACUGGUUAAAGGCAUUUUUAAGCCAUAAACAAUUAGCCUGAGCGAUCUGUGCCUUAAGGGCGUGUUCCUGCUGCAAUUAAUUCAGCCCAUCCCUUCGUUUCCCUUAAGGGAUACUUUCAGUUAAUUUAAUAUCCAUAGAAACAAUGCUAAUGACUGGUUUGCUGUUAAUAAAUAUGUGGGUAAAUCUCUGUUCGGGGCUCUCAGCUCUGAAGGCUGUGAGACCCCUGAUAUCCCACUUUACACCUCUGUAU
rnacentral:lncRNA from 10 species